rnacentral:rRNA from 1 species
ACCGAGUUUACAACUCCCAAACCCCUGUGAACAUACCUUAUGUUGCCUCGGCGGAUCAGCCCGCGCCCGGUAAAACGGGACGGCCCGCCAGAGGACCCUCAAACUCUGAUUUUAGUGUAACUUCUGAGUAAAACCAUAAAUAAAUCAAAACUUUCAACAACGGAUCUCUUGGUUCUGGCAUCGAUGAAGAACGCAGCAAAAUGCGAUAAGUAAUGUGAAUUGCAGAAUUCAGUGAAUCAUCGAAUCUUUGAACGCACAUUGCGCCCGCCAGUAUUCUGGCGGGCAUGCCUGUUCGAGCGUCAUUUCAACCCUCAAGCUCAGCUUGGUGUUGGAGAUCGGAUCGCAAGAUCCGCCUCCCAAAUCUAUUGGCGGUCACGCUGUAGCUUCCAUUGCGUAGUAACAUACCUCGCCUUGGAGAGCAGCGCGGCCACGCCGUUAAACCCCAACUUCUGAAUGUUGACCUCGGAUCAGGUAGGAAUAC